CUAAACAGGGAUCUUACACCAACGGACUAUCCACGACUCCACCAAAUCUCGCACCCCAUUUUUCCGAGCGGCUUUGGGGAUCCAACUGUCACGACGCCAUUUUGAAAUUUUUCGACAAUAAAAAAAUUUUUUAAAGUUCUCAAAGACUUAUAUAUUAAUGUAUUCAAGACCGCAUGUUCAUAAAUA